UAAAGGGCAGGCUUACGGUGUGAGGUGCUGUGUAACCCUAGAAACCCAAGCUCCACAGCAACCGUUUCUGUGGCGUGCCUUUAAAACCUGGAAAGCGGCCCUUUGCAGGAGAGGUGCGUGAUCCAGGGAGAAGGCAACGAUGGGGAACCACUGAACUGUAUGAACUAGUUGGACUCUUGCUGGGCAGUCCCCUGCCCUUGUCAGGGCAGCUGGUCAUCAGACAGGUGAUGCCCAAUCAGCACAGGGGCCACCUUGAUGAAAAAAGAGCAAGCUGCCCCACCAAACCUUCCUCUAGGAAGUAUCGCCCUAAGAUUGCCUCUCUGGAGCAGGCAGAAAGGAGCCAGGAGGUCCUGUGGAUGGACUCUGGAGGUAGACAAACGUGAGUUGGAAGCCCGGCUCUUUAACAGAUGGACAAAAAUACCAGUAUUAGUAAGAACUUACUGGUUUUAAGGAAUAGAUACUUAAAACAGCAUAAGUGAACAGGAUCACUUUAACAUCAAGAUACGGGGCUGUCUCUCAGCUGGAGUCCAGGGAGGCAUGCAGGUGCCAGAAGGACCAGACCAGGGAGUUGGACGGCUUCCUACCAGGAACCAUGUGGGAGCAAGACCAAGCCUGAGGUGCCUUUUUUGAUGGAUGAGAAACAAAGAACCAGGUUCCAGUCCACACGGUUACAGCACUUACAAGUUUCUGACCUUCAAAACAUCAUUUAACUGUCAUUUCCUCAGUCCCCCAGCCUGGCCUUCCUCCCAGAGUCGUGGGGCAUCAGGCGAGACAACGCACACACAGUCCCUCAGAACGCUGGAGAGCGCCGCGCCGCACCACCCGAGGAGCUGUUUUCCAUCUUCCCCGUGCGCCGGCAUCGUCCAUGAAGCUUGACAUUGGGGGCUGAGGAGGGGAGAUAAGAGUUCCCUUUGGAAUGCCAACUGAGUGUCAUCAGAAACUUGCUCAGCGGCCAGAGCGUUAAAGAAAAUGUAGAAGACUGAGAAGAUGGAAUUUGAAGAAUAUUCCACUCAGUCCCUGAGACGCCAGGGUAGACAGCUGUUACUUGUGUCUGCCUCGCAGCUCUUGCCCCUCUUUUGGGAAGAGAACUUCCUUCCUUGAAGGAACCACUCUUUUCUUUCUCUAUAUGGUUCUGGGCUGUUGGUCAGAGAACAUGGACCUGUACUGCUGGGCCACAGGGAUGGACAUGUGACCUUGGCCUAACCAUAAUGACACCCCACUUCCCUCACGUUAGCAAUUGGUCUGAGGAUUCAUUCAAGGAUCAAUA